UUUCUCUUUUCUCAUUUCUCCUUUCUUUAUGUUCUGGUUUCAUUCUUUCUUGAAGAAAAUAAGCCAUGGAUUGAUAUCCUAAAUUCCUUUAUACCCUUUAUUCCCUUAGCCGUUUUUAAUGUUAUCUCCUUAUUUCCCAGACUUUUUCUCAUCUUCAUCUCCUUUUUUUCUCUCUUGCGAUUCCAUUCUUUCAUGAAGAAAAUCAGCCACCAAUGGUACUUCCUCCACCCUGCCGUUGUCUCCUCCCCUUCGGUAUUUGCGGUUCAUAAAAUAUGGAGAAAUGGAAGCUUCGAAUCGUCAUCUAUAUUAUCUCGAGAUCUUGAUACUAACAAGGUGUGUAAUGGAUGGUAGAUUAAUUAGUUGGAAGACAGGAAAGCAUAUGUCGUCAAUUUGUUUAGUUUAGAUUUGCUUACAUUACUUUGAUUUAUUUCACUUUGUAAGAUAGUAUUUUGUAUAAUGUAAUAGUAUACAAACUCAUAUCUCUUGUACUCCUUAUUUGAAUAAUAAUAACGAGACGUGUUUAGUAUUUCUA